GACGAACGCUGGCGGCGUGCCUAAUGCAUGCAAGUCGCACGCGGCACCUUCGGGUGCUGCGUGGCGAACGGCUGAGGAACACGUGGGGACCUGUCCGGGAGUGGGGGACAACACCGCGAAAGCGGUGCUAAUCCCGCAUACGCUCUGAGGAGGAAAGCCGAAAGGCGCUCCCGGGUGGCCCUGCGGCCCAUCAGGUUGUUGGUGGGGUAACGGCCUACCAAGCCAAUGACGGGUCGCUGGUCUGUGAGGACGACCAGCCAGACUGGGACUGGGACACGGCCCAGACUCCUACGGGAGGCAGCAGCAAGGAAGUUUCGGCAAUGGGCGCAAGCCUGACCGAGCAACGCCGCGUGCAGGAAGACGGCCUUCGGGUUGUAAACUGCUUUUGCUAGGGAGGAUAACAGACAGUACCUGGCGAAUCAGCCCCGGCUAACUCUGUG
rnacentral:rRNA from 1 species